AGUUGAGGCACUCAGAGGCAGCAACUGUUUCAUGAUGUAGCCUCCACUGAAGUGGAAAUCCCCGUUGGUAAGAUCAGGCUCCAAGAAUCAGCUCUGGAUUGAGCUCUGAGGUGUCCUAAAGGGAAAGGCAUCCACCCUGCCUUCCACUGAAGGAUGAAGGCCAUAAAUUGGAGGGAAUUGAUGAAAGUCAUGCUUCCCCGGGAUGUUUCUAAGAAGCUUCUUCGUGCAGCAUAGCUGGCGCCAGAGAUAACAGAAGACUUGGCUGAGCUGGUGCACGGAGCCGAGCUGGAAGCUGACUGUGGGGUACAUUGCAGCAAACCCAUUAUUAAGAUUUUAUUAGCCACUGAUGAAUAAAUAGGUUUGGAGCCUUCCUCUCCUCCUUGCUAUCUUAUUUUAUAUAAUCGGUGCUACAUGGAAAAUUUUCCUGUCUUUCUGAUCUCACAUUAGUGUUUUCAUAGUAAAGCAAUCAAUAAAUCUACAGAAUUGGAUGAACCUGUGCUGGGAUUGCAUGUCAAAUGUUG
rnacentral:lncRNA from 1 species